rnacentral:tRNA from 1 species
AAGGGUAUAGCUCAGUGGUAGAGUGCAUGCUUAGCAUGCAUGAGGUCCUGGGUUCAAACCGCCAGUACCUCCA